rnacentral:rRNA from 1 species
AUUGAACGCUGGCGGCAGGCCUAACACAUGCAAGUCGAGCGGAUGAAGGGAGCUUGCUCCUGGAUUCAGCGGCGGACGGGUGAGUAAUGCCUAGGAAUCUGCCUGGUAGUGGGGGAUAACGUCCGGAAACGGGCGCUAAUACCGCAUACGUCCUGAGGGAGAAAUUGGGGGAUCUUCGGACCUCACGCUAUCAGAUGAGCCUAGGUCGGAUUAGCUAGUUGGUGGGGUAAAGGCCUACCAAGGCGACGAUCCGUAACUGGUCUGAGAGGAUGAUCAGUCACACGGGAACUGAGACACGGUCAAGACUCCUAAGGGAGGCAGCAGUGGGGAAUAUUGGACAAUGGGCGAAAGCCUGAUCCAGCCAUGCCGCGUGUGUGAAGAAGGUCUUCGGAUUGUAAAGCACUUUAAGUUGGGAGGAAGGGCAGUAAGUUAAUACCUUGCUGUUUUGACGUUACCAACAGAAUAAGCACCGGCUAACUUCGUG